GGCAGGUAGCGUAAUGGUCAGAGCUAUCUAUAUGAAAUAGAAAGACCUGGGUUCGAAUCCCACCUUCUGCUA
rnacentral:tRNA from 1 species